rnacentral:rRNA from 1 species
ACUUUCAACAACGGAUCUCUUGGUUCUGGCAUCGAUGAAGAACGCAGCGAAAUGCGAUAAGUAAUGUGAAUUGCAGAAUUCAGUGAAUCAUCGAAUCUUUGAACGCACAUUGCGCCCUCUGGUAUUCCGGGGGGCAUGCCUGUUCGAGCGUCAUUACAACCCUCAAGCUCU